UCUUCAUUUCGCACACUAUCUCACCUAUCAGAGAGACAAGAGAGUGUGCAAAAUGAAGAGA
rfam:Pristionchus pacificus strain PS312 contig5299, whole genome shotgun sequence.